rnacentral:rRNA from 1 species
UACGGGGGGAGCAAGCGUUGUUCGGAUUUACUGGGCGUAAAGGGCGCGUAGGCGGCCUCUGCAAGUCGACUGUGAAAUCUCCGGGCUUAACCCGGAAAGGUCAGCCGAUACUGCAGGACUAGAGUGCAGAAGGGGCAACUGGAAUUCUCGGUGUAGCGGUGAAAUGCGUAGAUAUCGAGAGGAACACCUGCGGCGAAGGCGGGUUGCUGGGCUGACACUGACGCUGACAGCGCGAAAGCUAGGGGAGCGAACGGG